GGAGGCAGAGCACUUGCCUGUGUGGGGCCCUGCCCUUCUCUUGAGAGGCAGGCGGGCCCUAGCUGCAGCGUCAAGGUCUGGGGAUUCUGUGGCUCUGUAGGGUGAAGGGCACUGGAGACCUACCAGGGGCUGGGCCAUUGGAGUGGUGGGUGCUGGGGAGCUUCCGUGGGCCCCUCCAGGUCCACUCCUUGCUCUUCUCUGCCUUGUUUUGUGCCCAGAAGGCUGACCUGUGUGGAUGCAUUAUCAGGGUGGAUGCAACACAGGGCUGCCAUGCUCUCUGGUAUCAGUUUGGAAGGCACUGGCAGGAUGGGAAGGCAGGCGGGGAGUGAGGUCAGGGGGCCUAUCCUUCCACUGCCUCCCUGCUGCUCCCUGACUGAUUCAGAGCCAGUCUUGGUGCUCUGUGUUCACCUGGUUCAUCUGAGGAGCUGCAUCUACCCUGCCCAUGCCAUAGAUCCUGCCCUGUUUGCUUCUCCUGUUGCUGCUAGUGGACAUGAGGACAGAAUAACGGGCUCCCAGAUUCACAAGCCCCACCAAGAGGAUCACCCCAGGAACGCUUGGAGGCUGAGGAGUUCACUGAGGCUACUGCAUCUUGAGACUCAGGAUGAAGACCCAGCUUGGGGCUGUCAAAGGUUUUUUGCAUGUCUGACACCCAUGACUCCACCUGGACCUUAUGGCUCCACCCAGAAGCAAUUCAGCCCAACAGGAGGACAGCUUCAACCCAUUACGAUUUCAUCUCUGCCCCAACCACUCAGCAGCAAGCACCUGUUACCUGUCCACCCCCACCCCUUCCCCCAAACUGCCUUUGAAAAAUCCCUAACCUAUGAGCUUUGAAUAAGAUGAGUACGAACUUCAUCGCCCACGUGGCGUGGCCGGCCUCGUGUCUAUUAAAUUCUUUUUCUACUACAA
rnacentral:lncRNA from 1 species